UAAGCGGAGGAAAAGAAACCAACAGGGAUUGCCUUAGUAGCGGCGAGUGAAGCGGCAAAAGCUCAAAUUUGAAAUCUGGCGCCUUCGGUGUCCGAGUUGUAAUUUGAAGAUUGUAACCUUGGGGUUGGCUCUUGUCUAUGUUUCUUGGAACAGGACGUCACAGAGGGUGAGAAUCCCGUGCGAUGAGAUGCCCAAUUCUAUGUAAGGUGCUUUCGAAGAGUCGAGUUGUUUGGGAAUGCAGCUCUAAGUGGGUGGUAAAUUCCAUCUAAAGCUAAAUAUUGGCGAGAGACCGAUAGCGAACAAGUACAGUGAUGGAAAGAUGAAAAGAACUUUGAAAAGAGAGUGAAAAAGUACGUGAAAUUGUUGAAAGGGAAGGGUUUGAGAUCAGACUCGAUAUUUUGUGAGCCUUGCCUUCGUGGCGGGGUGACCCGCAGCUUAUCGGGCCAGCAUCGGUUUGGGCGGUAGGAUAAUGGCGUAGGAAUGUGACUUUACUUCGGUGAAGUGUUAUAGCCUGCGUUGAUGCUGCCUGCCUAGACCGAGGACUGCGAUUUUAUCAAGGAUGCUGGCAUAAUGAUCCCAAACCGCCCGUCUUGAAACACG
rnacentral:rRNA from 1 species